CCCUGACAGUCGCAAGGUGCGGCUGACACUAGCCACGACAGGAGACUCACAUG
rnacentral:ncRNA from 1 species